CAGAUGGUGGACGCGGGCGGCUGCCCGGCCGGGGAGGGCUGGAGGAGGAUGGAGGCCGCGCCCGACGGUGCCGUGGACAUCGUGCCCCUGGACCGCUACGACUCGGCCCGCGCCAAGAUCGCCGCCAACCUGCAGUGGAUCUGCGCCAAGGCAUACGGCAUAGAUAACAUCCCCGAGGACCUCAGGGACCCCUUUUACAUUGACCAGUAUGAGCAGGAGCACAUCAAGCCGCCCGUCAUCAAGCUCCUGCUGUCCAGCGAGCUCUACUGCCGUGUGUGCAGCCUCAUCCUGAAGGGGGACCAGGUGGCGGCCUUACAGGGACACCAGUCUGUCAUCCAGGCCCUGUCCCGGAAAGGGAUCUACGUGAUGGAGAGUGACGACACCCCCGUGACGGAUCCCGACCUCAGCCACGCACCCAUAAAGAUGAGUGCCCACAUGGCGAUGGUGGACGCCCUCAUGAUGGCCUACACCGUGGAGAUGAUCAGCAUCGAGAAGGUGGUGGCCAGCGUCAAGCGCUUCUCAACGUUCAGCGCCUCGAAAGAGCUUCCGUACGACCUCGAGGACGCCAUGGUGUUCUGGGUCAACAAGGUAAACCUUAAAAUGAGAGAGAUAACAGAGAAAGAAGUCAAGCUAAAACAGCAGUUAUUGGAAAGUCCGGCUCAUCAAAAGUCCCCCUCCAAGUGGUACUGGAAGUUAGUGCCCGUGCGCUAUCGCCGAGAGCACCUGUCCGCGAGGCAGCCGCCCUACUUCCCGCUGCUGGAGGACCUGAUGAGAGACGGCAGUGACGGGGCCGCCCUCCUGGCCGUGGUCCACUACUACUGCCCGGAGCAGAUGAAGCUGGAUGAUAUAUGCUUGAAGGAGGUAACGUCGAUGGCUGACAGUCUGUAUAAUAUUCGGCUUCUGAGGGAGUUCUCGAAUGAGUAUCUUAACAAAUGCUUUUAUCUCACCUUAGAAGACAUGCUGUAUGCUCCCUUAGUGUUGAAGCCGAACGUUAUGGUUUUUAUUGCCGAGCUCUUCUGGUGGUUUGAGAAUGUCAAACCAGAUUUCGUUCAGCCCAGGGAUGUUCAGGAACUGAAAGACGCUAAAACGGUGUCGCACCACAAGAGUAGUCGGCCUCCCGUUCCCAUCUCCAAUGCCACCAAGCGCAGCUUCCUGGGCAGCCCCGCGGCGGCGAGCCCGGCCGACUUGCAGCCCCCCGCUGCCCUGCCAGCCGAAGGCGGCCACAGGCACCGCCUGCACCCCGAGGAGCCCGAGCACCUGGGGAAAGGCGCCUCUGCCUUUAGCCCAUCACACCCUUUACUGCCUCUGAGACAGAGACAGCAGAAGACCGCGCAGGGGGAGGGCCUUCCUGAUCAGCGACACCGGUCCAACUCUUUAACCCGAGUGGAUGGCCAGCCACGAGGUGCAGCAGUAGCAUGGCCAGAAAAACAGAACAGGCCUGUGUCUCAGCCAGCGCCCUUUGCUCUCCAUCACGCUGCCAGCUGUGACCUGGACCCCGGCUCCGGUGACAGCGUCAGCCUGGCCCGCUCCAUCAGCAAGGAUAGCCUGGCGUCCGGUGUCAUUAACCUGACUCCGCAGAACCAGCCCCAGCCCGCAGCGCUGAAGACCGAUGGCAAAAGCCUCCUGAACGACGUCCACAUCGAGGAUGAAGAGCUCGUGGCCGUCAUCAGAACGGACGUGGCUCCCCAUGGCGGUGACUGGGGCCUGCCCGCAAGUGCCAGGUCUCCCCAGAGAUUGGCAGACACCCUAGAAAGGAAGCCUGAGACUUUCUUCCUGGAGCCGUUGAUGCCGGCCGUGCUUAGGCCGGCCAAGGAGAAGCAGGCGAUCGCCAAGGAGGACGAGUGUGGAGAGGGGCGGCCACGGAGCUUCGCCUCUAAGAGACCCAGCGAGGGCCACCAGCCCCUGGUGCGCAAGAGGGCGCCCAGCAGUCACGGCGGCCGUGACCCGACCAGGACUUUCACCCCGAUCUCCUGUCCGGAACCUCCAGCGGGCGUGGACCCUGUGCCUGCUGAGACGGGGCCGCAGGCGGUGAGUGAUUUCGAUCCGUCACCCCGGGGACAGUCUGCCGACGGCUUCUUUCUCCACGUGGCCAGGGCCGCCGACGACGCGGAGGGCAGGUUCUGCGUCAGCUGUGCCAGGAGCCCCGGCGCCCACGACCCCGAGCCGUGGGCCAUGCUGAGGCAGGACUCGGACUCUGACGUCGCAGACCUGGAGGAAGCCGAGCAGGACUUGGUCGGCGAGGACCACCCCGUGGUGAUGGCCGGGUACGUCGGCGAGGAGGAGUCGGCGAAGCUGCAGGAGGACAUGAAGGUGAGGGAGCACGAGGACAAGGACGACGCCAGCGGCCGCUCGAGCCCCUGUCUGAGCGCCGUGUCCCAGGUCAGCGGCGUCUCCGCGGCCAGCGGCAGCGUGAAGAUGACGAGCUUCGCGGAGCGGAAGCUCCAGAGGCUCAACAGCUGCGAGACCAGGUCCAGCACCAGCAGCUCCCAGAAGACCACGCCGGACGCCUCGGAGAGCUGCCCGGCCCCGCUGACCACGUGGAAGCAGCGCAGGGAGCAGAGCCCGGGCGGGCAGAGCGCGGACCACGCCAGCCUCCUGGCAUCCGAGCUGGUGCAGCUGCACAUGCAGCUGGAGGAGAAGCGCAGGGCCAUCGAGGCGCAGAAGAGGGAGGUGGAGGCCCUGUCCGCGCGGCAGCGGCUGAAGCUGGGGAAGGCCGCCUUCCUGCACGUGGUCAAGAAGGGGAAGGCGGACGGCGCCGCCCCGCCGCGCCAGCCCGGACGCCCGGCGGGCGAGCGUGCGCGGCACGACGGGGAGGACUUCGACGGGGCCUCCGGGACGGAGGAGCUGGCCGCGAAGGAGGAGGGGAGGGAAGGCGCCCUGCAGUCUCCGGACGCGGACGCCGAGAGCCCGGUCUUCCUGCAGCAUAAAGCGGCGGCCCCGGCCGCGCCUCACGGGCUGGAGAAGAGCGGGGCGCUGUCCGCCGCGCUGCUGGAGGACGCCGGCCAGGCGGUGGACGCGAGCGAGUGCGACCUGUCCAUCGAGAAGCUGAACGAGACCAUCAGCACGCUGCAGCAGGCCAUCCUGAGGAUCUCGCAGCAGCAGGAGCAGCUGCUCAUGAAGCCGCCCGCGGCCCCGGCCCCGGGCCCCAAGCACGGCGGCCCAGACCAGCAGGUGCGCGCGGCCAUCCACUUUGUGGAGCCGCUCUCCCCGCCCGGGACGGCCGCUCACCGCAAACCUCCUCGUCUCGGCCAGGCUCGGAAUUCCCGCUCCGGGAGGCCGGCCGAGCUGAAAGUCCCCAAGGACCGGCAGGCUUCCUCCCGCAGCAAGACCCCGACGCCCAGCGUGGAGAGCCUCCCGCACCUGCGGCCCUGCCCGCCCCGCACCCCCUCCGACCCGGGCUGGGACGGUGUUGCAGAGCCUGGCGGUGACCCUCCCGAGAAGUACUUCUUUGACAGCUACCGGCUCCACGACGAGAACAACCAGCGGACUCUUGUCUUGUCUUCUUCCAAAGACGCAAAUAUUCUGGCCGAACAGAUGAGCCUCAAAGAAGUUCUGGAAAGCGGCGAGAAGGAGGUGGGGCUCAGCUGCCCUUCGGUCUCAGGGAAGGAGAACGUCCCUGUGGAUGAGGCCCCCAGAGGCAAGGCCAGUCUCAUCGAGGUGGACCUCUCGGACCUGAAGGCCCCUGACGAGGAUGGGGAGACAGAGGGCCCUCAGAGCGCCAUGGACCUCGCCAGUGAAGGCGACCAGAAGCCGGGGGUCGGCUUCUUCUUCAAGGAUGAGCAGAAGGCGGAGGACGAGCUCGCCAAGAAGCGGGCGGCCUUCCUCCUGAAGCAGCAGCGUAAGGCCGAGGAGGCGAAGGUGCGGAAGCAGCAGCUGGAGGCGGAGGUGGAGCUCAAGAGAGACGAGGCCCGGCGCAAAGCCGAGGAAGAGCGCAUCCGGAAGGAGGAGGAGAAGGCGCGGCGGGAGCUCAUCAAGCAGGAGUAUUUGCGCAGGAAGCAGCAGCAGAUCUUGGAGGAGCAGGGGCUGGGGAAGCCGAAGGCCAAGUCCCGGAAGUCGCGGCCCAAGUCCGUCCACCGGGAGGAGUCGUGCAGUGACUCGGGGACCAAGUGCUCCUCCACCCCUGAUCACCUGAGCCGCGCCCAGUCGGGCUCCAGCCUGUCCCUGGCCUCCGCGGCCACCACCGAGCCCGAGAGCGUGCACUCGGGGGGCACGCCUUCCCAGCGAGUUGAGUCCCUGGAAGCCUUGCCCACGCUGAGCCGUAACCCCAGCAGGAGCACAGACAGAGACUGGGAAACCGCGUCCGCUGCGUCCUCUCUCGCCUCCGUGGCCGAGUACACAGGUCCCAAGCUGUUCAAGGAGCCCAGUAGCAAAUCAAACAAGCCGAUUAUUCACAACGCCAUCUCUCACUGCUGUCUGGCUGGGAAAGUGAACGAGCCUCACAAGAAUUCCAUAUUAGAGGAGCUGGAGAAGUGUGACGCCAACCACUACAUCAUACUGUUCCGGGACGCGGGCUGCCAGUUCCGAGCACUUUAUUGCUACUACCCCGACACCGAAGAAAUCUGCAAGCUAGCCGGCACGGGGCCAAAGAGCAUCGCCAAGAAGAUGGUUGACAAACUGUAUAAGUACAGCUCAGACCGGAAACAGUUUAACCUGAUCCCGGCCAAAACCAUGUCCGUCAGCGUGGACGCCCUCACUAUUCACAACCACCUGUGGCAGCCCAAGCGGCCCGCGGUGCCAAAGAAGACCCAGACUCGUAAAUGACACCGGCGCCGGCGGGGCGGCCUGCGGGAUGCGUGGACGGGAUCGAUAUUUAUUAUUUUCGUUCGUUUGGUACGAAGCGUGCGGAGUCGCAGACCUUUUUCAGAGAGGCUUCGGUUGACAAAAGAAAAGCCUCCCCGGCGGCGUCCCCCACACGCACCGGGUGCCAGAAAACGUUUACUGAAAACCCCAGUUCACUAAAAGCACUGAAAUCUGCAAAGUCUGUCUCCUACUAAGAUGACGUUUACAGACGUGAUGGUUUUCUGCCACGCAAUCAUGAGGACGGUGAGUGGUGCCAUCAGCCGGCCUUCGCCUCAUUGGAAAUAGACGAGCGGAGCAGGUGACCGCCAUCGCUCCCGGAGUUUGGGAUUGCGCUCUGAUGAUUUGUUCACUUUAAUAAAGACAGAUUUUGGUACAGUAAACCAGUGUUCACUCUGAGCAUGUUUCUCUUGAGAGGUGACGCGCUAAGCCGACGGUCCCUUUGGCGGCCGUAUCGCUCCGUGACUUGUCUUGAUUCUUGUUCCGAAGAGCAGUAGGCCCCGAGAGGAGUGCGCGGCUCCUCGUCCAGAUUGAUAAUCUUGUUCGUUGGGCCUUUAAAAGCGGCGUAAGUGGUCAUUUGCGGUGGAGCGGCUUUGGGUUCUCUCCACGUUGGUCCAGACGGUCGUGUCGCUAACGCUUCUCCGGACCAGAUGCUCCCGGGAGACCGGCCUUCGGCCCCGCCGGGUGUGCGCCGCGGCUCCCCUCUGCCUGGCCGUCGCGUGGUCGCAGGCCUGACGCCGUGUGAUGGACCAGCUGCUCUGAGCCUUGACCCGACGGCCAGAAGAUUCCGGAGUCACGUUAGUUUUGCACAUGUCUUCUUGGGAGUGUUACUUGAAUCUGUGUUGAACUGUAGAGACGCCGAAGAUCCGUAGGAAAAGUUAGGCAAACGUAGCUGCUCCCUAACUGUGGGUGGAGUACGAGGUAAGUGAGCCCCGUGCCUCAGGGAGGGGGGAGCAGGCUACAGACCCCGAGGGGGGGGCUGUGGGCCUCCCUCCCGCUUCCCCCGUCUGCGCCCCCGUCUUCCGAAGAUUCGUCUGUAAGUACCGUGUCCGCGGCAGCCGCGUCCUGCGAGUGGGUCGUGGAGGCCGCCUGGGCCGCAAGCCGAGUGCUCGGAAAGGGUCCUGAGUGAACUUGUUCUCCUGUGCUUCUCGCUGUAUGUUCGAUAUUCUCUUAUCCUAUUUAUUUUAAGAAAGCACCGAGAUGUAAUAAAGUAAUUAAUUUGCUUUUUAGUAAUCACA